rfam:Folsomia candida strain VT population Fcan01_Sc002, whole genome shotgun sequence.
CGACCUCAGAUUAGGCGAGAUUACCCGCUAAAUUUAAGCAUAUUAAUAAGCGGAGGAAAAGAAACUAACAAGGAUUCCCUUAGUAACGGCGAGCGAAAAGGGAAGAGCCCAGCGCCGAAUCUUGUGUCCCCCGGAUGCAAAGACAUGUGGCGUUUGGGACGAGACAUUGCCUGUGCAGAAUGGUUAACUAAGUCCCUCUUGAACGGGGCCAUAGCCCAUGGAGGGUGCUAGGCCCGUAUGUUAACUGUAGUGUGCAGUGCGUCUCGUCCGUAGAGUCGGGUUGCUUGGGAGUGCAGCCCAAAUACGGUGGUAAACUCCAUCUAAGGCUAAAUAUGACCACGAGACCGAUAGCGAACAAGUACCGUGAGGGAAAGUUGAAAAGAACUUUGAAGAGAGAGUUCAAUAGUACGUGAAACCUCUCGGGGGUAAGCGGGCAGAACUUGCAAGUAUUGGCGAGAAUAUUCAGGCUUAUUAUGUUGGCGACUGAGGGUGCUUUAUUAUGUUGUCCGUUUCGGCGGAUUGGCUGGUGUGUGCCCUUUGGUUUGUUGAUGAUGCGCCGCAUUUAUUCUCGUCAUCGGGUUGCAUGUGACUGAGAUACGGUAGUUUAGGUGCUGGGGAUCUGCGAAGCCUUGUUGUUUCGAGUCCUGGUUUCCAACUACUGCUGCGGUCAUUAUACACAUUAUAUUGAGCAGGCGUUUAGGCGCGGUCAAAGGCUUGUACGAGUUGUGUGCGUAUGAUGUGUGGACGGUUUAUUCCGUAGCAUGUUGUACGAGGCUGAUUGUCGGUACGAGUAAUAUUUGGCUCUGUUCAGUGGAUUGCAAUCUAAUGCAUGCGUGGUCUGCCUGUCCCGUCUUGAAACACGGACCAAGGAGUCUAACAUGUAUGCGAGUCAUUGGGAAUGAAAACCCAAAGGCAUAAUGAAAGUAAAGGAUUCGAUUGCGAAUCUGAGGAGAGAUCAUGGCACUUGUUGGUAUGCCGCAAGGUUUUUUUCAACUGACAAGUGUGUGCGCAUCUCCUGGACGUCUAUACCCUUGAGGGUUGGGCGUACCAAGAGCAUACACGUUGGGACCCGAAAGAUGGUGAACUAUGCCUGGUCAGAACGAAGUCAGGGGAAACUCUGAUGGAGGUUCGUAGCGAUUCUGACGUGCAAAUCGAUCGUCGGAACUGGGUAUAGGGGCGAAAGACUAAUCGAACCAUCUAGUAGCUGGUUCCCUCCGAAGUUUCCCUCAGGAUAGCUGGCGCUUGAUUAAAUCAGUCUCAUCCGGUAAAGCGAAUGAUUAGAGGCCUUGGGGCCGAAACGACCUCAACCUAUUCUCAAACUUUAAAUGGGUGAGAAGUCAGGCUUGCUUAAUCGAAGCUCUGACAAUGGAUGGUGAGUGCCAAGUGGGCCACUCUUGGUAAGCAGGACUGGCGCUGUGGGAUGAACCAAACGUUGGGUUAAGGCGCCCGAAUCGACGCUCAUCAGAUCCCAUAAAAGGCGUUGGUUGCUUAAGACAGCAGGACGGUGGCCAUGGAAGUCGGAAUCCGCUAAGGAGUGUGUAACAACUCACCUGCCGAAGCAACUAGCCCUGAAAAUGGAUGGCGCUGAAGCGUCGUGCCCAUACCCAACCGUUGAGUCACAGAGGGGUAUUAAUAAUCCUCCGCGAGGACUCAACGAGUAGGAGGGUCGUGGUGGUGUGCGUAGAAGGGUCUGGGCGUAGGCCUACCUGGAGCCGCCAUCAGUGCAGAUCUUGGUGGUAGUAGCAAAUACUUUGGAGAGGCCCCGAAGGACCGAUGUGGAGAAGGGUUUCGUGUGAACAGCCGUUGAACACGAGUCAGUCGAUCCUAAACCCGACGAGAAGUCGGUAUCACUGUAGGAGAGUUAUAAAAGUAAUUUACAAAUGUAUAUCUCCAUUGUGAUAAGGUGAAAGGGAAUCUGGUUUCAAUUCCAGAACCUGGUGACGGAACCGCUCUUUUUGAUAUGCUCCUUGCGGGUAUAUCAUCGGGGUAACCCAAAAAGACCUGGAGAUGCCAUCAAAACUCCCAGGAAGAGUUUUCUUUUCUGCAUGAGUAACUAAGCGCCCUGGAAUUCCUUCACGGAGAGAUAGGGUCACGGUUACGAAGAGCGCCGCAGUUAUUGUGGCGUCUGGGAUGUUUUGCUGGACCUUGAAAAUCCAGGAGAGGGAUACGGGAGUGUCGCACCAGUUCGUACCCAUAUCCGCAGCAGGUCUCCGAGGUGAGAAGCCUCUGGUCGAUAGAACAAUGUAGGUAAGGGAAGUCGGCAAAUCGGAUCCGUAACUUCGGGACAAGGAUUGGCUCUGAGGAUUGGGGCAGUCGGGCCGGAUCAGGAAGUAGUGUGUGCUCACGUGCUGGGCCUGGACGAGGCUCUUUUCGGAGGGCUGAGUUCGGUCCCAUGCCGCGGCCUGCUAUGGAUUGGUUCGGCUAGGAGUGCCGCUGGCUGUAACAGGCUGGUGGAAUCACGCUCUUCGGCUUCCAUUGAACAAUCAACUCAGAACUGGCA